rnacentral:lncRNA from 1 species
CUGAUGCAGUGCCUGACUGUAGUUCUGCAGCUCCACUGAAGAAGAGGCACUGAGGACUAGAGGCAGCCAGGGGAUUGCAACUCAAAGAGGUUUUCUAGAACCAGUUACUUCCAAAUUAUGUUCAAUUAGGCAACAGAACUAAAGAAUAUGCCUCUGAUCUACUUAUUUCUCAGCCUGAAUGCUGACUUCAUAGACUUUCAAAACAAAGUAAUAGGUGAGGAGCAAAGGAAGUAGUUCUGCUGACGGUUCAGGACCUGCUGUGUGGGUAGGGUGGUUCACUAGUCAUCCUGAAAGCUUGAUUAAUGUGAUGAGAAGUGCAUCGCAGGGUAACGAAUGCUGUGUUAUUAGCCACCAAAUGCUCCACACGAUGCUGCAGUCUUUCAGAAGCAAAGGGCACAUUGAAAUAAAAUCACACUAAAAGUGUUCUUCUAGGUUUAUAUCCUAUAAUAGCAAUCGCCGCCUCAAUGCAAGCGUUUCUUAGGAAGGACUGACUGGCUGAGGUUAACUGCCCAGAGUACAGUUGAAGGCCACCAGUUCCUCCCCGCUACUCAUUAAUCCCCAGGAAAUCUCCUGAAUCCUGGCAGUUAUUGUUCAAUCCUUUAUAGACGAUUUUCUGAGUAUUUUGAGUGCUUGUUCUCCCCAGGAACACCUACAGCUGGCCAGAUUGUGUGUGUAUAGAGAAGAAAACUCUUUUUCUUAAAAGUGGAUUGAAUUUCAACCUCCCUAUAAAGACCCCUUAUGGGCCAAUGACUCAGAAAAAGUCACUUUAAUUGCGUUUUGGCUUCUCUCCUUUCUAAGGGAACAAGAGACGAGAGAAGCCAGGGAAAGUCAGGGAGGGAAGACAGAGGAGCCCAGCCACUCACAUUCUUUCUGGCUCCCAGCAAUCACCCAGUCAAAUGUGGGGCUGCUGGUGAGGACAAAAGGACCCGGCAGAACAGGUGCACCUGGGAGGGGGGUUCAGAGCCAAGAGACCAAGAGCCCUCCCUCAGGACAGCCGGGGAGGCCAACUGGACCCCAGACUCAACUCGGCAAAUGGGGGCAACUCCAACGAUCUACUUCCACAACACUGAGUAAUUUCUAGCCACAGAGCCCC